UAAACGAAAGCUGUGCCUGUAUCCACUGUUGUCACGGAGCUAAAGGCAAUGGAUUCCGUUAAAAUGGUCAGGUUUUGGUAAAGAGUGGGAAACAUCGUGCAGAGGUCCUGGAGAGAUACAGAUCCAGACGUUCCGAACGUUCUUCGAGAGACUCAUUGAUUCCCAGUCCAGGUGGCUGGGUGGCGAGCCAACCGUGUUUGACAACGAAUCAAAUCGCUUUAGAUGAACUGUCCGGAUCAUCCUCUUCAUCUUCUUUGUGGUAGGACAAGCACUAACUCAACCUAAAAAUAAAGGGCCCCAACGUUGAAACUGCAUUCUUGUCUACAAAGGCAAGGUGAACCGAGGACAAACUGAGCUCAAAAGUACUGAAAAGAGGGUUUUGUUUUGUUUAUGUGCGCACUUUAUUAUUUUAGUUUGUUAUUUUUCAUAAAUGUGUUUUUUGUAUGUAUGUACUACCUUGUGAGUUUAAUACAGGUUAUCUAAACUGUCA